CUACGGGGUGCAGCAGUAGGGAAUCUUAGACAAUGGGGGAAACCCUGAUCUAGCCAUGCCGCGUGAGUGAUGAAGGCCUUAGGGUUGUAAAGCUCUUUCGCUGGGGAAGAUAAUGACGGUACCCAGUAAAGAAACCCCGGCUAACUCCGUGCCAGCAGCCGCGGUAAUACGGAGGGGGCUAGCGUUGUGUCGGAAUUACUGGGCGUAAAGCGCGCGUAGGCGGGCUAUUAAGUCAGGGGUGAAAUCCCGGGGCUCAACCCCGGAACUGCCUUUGAUACUGGUAGUCUUGAGUUCGAGAGAGGUGAGUGGAAUUCCGAGUGUAGAGGUGAAAUUCGUAGAUAUUCGGAGGAACAUCAGUGGCGAAGGCGACUCACUGGCUCGAUACUGACGCUGAGGUGCGAAAGUGUGGGGAGCAAACAGGAUUAGAUACCCGAGUAGUC
rnacentral:rRNA from 1 species